rnacentral:lncRNA from 1 species
AUGCUGACCAAACAUCUUCUCUCACCUACACAAAAUGCUGCAGCCACACUUCUAAUACAUAACCAGUUCAUCCUCGUCACAACACAUCUAUCCCAAGGGGACUGCAGCUGCUGCUACUGAAGACCUAGGGCUCAGGUGGUGCCAGCAGA